CCUGCCUGGCCUAACCCCACUUCCAGCAGCCAGAAUCCCCUCUGCUCUGCCCCCAGAGCUUGCUUAGUGUCAGCUUCAAGCCCUGCUACAAGUGCAGGGAGCUGCGGCGGUGGGCAGUGGGACACCGUUCUAUCAAUCUCUUCUACUGAACCUGCCUUCGAGCCCCACCUCUACUCUGCUGAGGUGCCCACUCUCAAAUGGGAGCAGCUGGCCUGUUAUUACUUCACUCCAGAAGCAGAUCUGGCAAACUGAUAACAUCUUGGCUACAUCUGGGAUUAGCGUGAAAAAACAAAACAAAAUGCUCAGGUGUGAAAAUCUUCCCCGUGUGUCCUGUCUACAACCUCACAAGAGUGGAUGUUAUUUUCCAAGAUCAGAGGAUUUUUCACCUUCU